GAUGAACGCUGGCGGCGUGCCUAACACAUGCAAGUCGAGCGAACAGACGAGGAUCUUGCUCCUUUGACGUUAGCCGCGGACGUGUGAGUAACAUGUGUAUAAUCUACUUAUAAUACUGGUAUAUUUUCGGGAAUCCGGAUCUAAUACCGUAUAAUAUCUUGAACCGUAUGGUUCAAUAGUGAAAUACGGCUUUGCUGUCACUUAUAGAGGCUUCUGCGCUGCAUUAGAUAGUUGUUACGGUCACGGCUUAUCAAGGCAACCAUGCGUAGCCGACGUGAGAGAGGGAUCGGCGACACUGGAACGGAGACACGGUCCAGACGACUGAGGGACGCAGCAGUAGGGAAUGGUACGCAGUAGGCGAGAGCCUGACGGAGCAACGCCGCGUGAGAGAUGAAGGUGUUCGGAUCGUAAAACUCUGUUAUUAGGGAAAAACAGAUGUGUAAGUAGAUAUGCAGGGAUUGACGGUAACUAAUCAGAAAGCAACGGCUAACUACGUG
rnacentral:rRNA from 1 species